UGGCGGCAGUAGCGCGGUGGUCCCACCUGACCCCAUGCCGCACUCAGAAGUGAAACGCCGUAGCGCCGAUGGUAGUGUGGGGUCUCCCCAUGCGAGAGUAGGGAACUGCCAGGCA
rnacentral:rRNA from 1 species